UGGGGAAUCUUGGACAAUGGGCGCAAGCCUGAUCCAGCCAUGCCGCGUGAAGGAUGAAGUAUUUCGGUAUGUAAACUUCGAAAGAAUAGGAAGAAUAAAUGACGGUACUAUUUAUAAGGUCCGGCUAACUACGUGCCAGCAGCCGCGGUAAUACGUAGGGACCAAGCGUUGUUCGGGAUUUACUGGGCGUAAAGGGCGCGUAGGCGGUGUGUCAAGUCAGUUGUGAAAUCUCCGAGCUUAACUCGGAACGGUCAACUGAUACUGUCACACUAGAGUACAGAAGGGGCAAUCGGAAUUCUUGGUGUAGCGGUGAAAUGCGUAGAUAUCAAGAGGAACACCUGAGGCGAAGGCGGGUUGCUGGGCUGAUACUGACGCUGAGGCGCGAAAGCUAGGGUAGCAAACGGGAUUAGAUACCCCUGUAGUCCCUGAGCGGGCUGGCAAGGCGCAU
rnacentral:rRNA from 1 species